GAUGAACGCUGGCGGCGUGCCUAAUACAUGCAAGUCGAACGAAACUUCUUUAUCACCGAGUGCUUGCACUCACCGAUAAAGAGUUGAGUGGCGAACGGGUGAGUAACACGUGGGCAACCUGCCCAAAAGAGGGGGAUAACACUUGGAAACAGGUGCUAAUACCGCAUAACCAUAGUUACCGCAUGGUAACUAUGUAAAAGGUGGCUAUACUACCGCUUUUGGAUGGGCCCGCGGGGCAUUAGCUAGUUGGUAGGGUAAAGGCUUACCAAGGCAAUGAUGCGUAGCCGAAUUGAGAGGUUGAUCGGCCACAUUGGAACUGAGACACGGCCCAAACUCCUACGGGAGGCAGCAGUAGGGAAUCUUCCACAAUGGGCGAAAGCCUGAGGGAGCAACGCCGCGUGGGUGAAGAAGGUCUUCGGAUCGUAAAACCCUGUUGUUAGAGAAGAAAGUGCGUGAGAGUAACUGUUCACGUUUCGACGGUAUCUAACCAGAAAGCCACGGCUAACUACGG
rnacentral:rRNA from 1 species